rnacentral:rRNA from 1 species
GACGAACGCUGGCGGCGUGCCUAAUACAUGCAAGUCGAACGCAGUGGGGACGGGGGAGUGACAAGUGGGUAACCUCCCAUCAGAGGGGAGAACACUUGGAAAAAGGUGCUAAAACCGAUACGGAUGGAGGGACCCGGGGUGCAUUAGCUGGUUCGUGAUGUAACGGCUCACCAAGGCCACGAUGCAUAGGCGCCCUGAGAGGGGGAUCGGCCACACUGGAACUGAGACACGGCCCAGACUCCUACGGGAGGCAGCAGUAGGGAAUCUUCGGCAAUGGACGAAAUGCUGACCGAGCAACGCCGCGUGAGUGAAGAAGGUUUUCGGAUCGUAAAACUCUUUUGUUAGAGAAGCGGUAUCUAACCAGAAAGCCACGGCUAACUACGUGCCAGCAGCCGCGGUAAUAC